GCGGAGGUAGGGGAUGCAGGCUGGGGGUGAGCAGCAGCGACGGUGCCAUCGGCUGUCGCAUCGGCGUCCUCAGCCCCGCCCCGCGCCUAAGCGGCGCUCGCUGGGAGGGCCUGGCCAUCUUCGCGCGGUGGCCGGGCGCUCCCGGGGUCCCCUGCCUGUGCCCCGUUCCCCCAUCCAGAACCUGGGCUGGAGGUGCUAGGGAGCUCUGGGAGCCUGGGCUGCACGCAGGGAAGUGCUCUCGGCCGCCGGGGUCACAAGACUCCAGGGCUUCACAGUGCCCAAGGCUUGGUGGACAUCGAGCCCACCGGGGAAUCUUUGCCAUCAGCGCCGUGUUUUGAUGCCCGCGGCAAGGAACACCACGAAAUAGGUUUCCUGACACUCAGUAGAGUCGGGGUUUCACCGUGUUAGCCAGAAUGGUCUCGAUCUCCUGACCUCGUGAUCUGCCUGCCUCGGCCUCCCAAAGUGCUGGGAUUACAGGCGUGAGCCACUGCACCUGGCCAUGAACUUUAUAUAAAAUGGAAUCAUGCAGUGCUGUGAUAGAAUCAUAACCACUAAAGAUAUCCACAUCCUAACCCCCAGAAUCUCUGAAUAUGUUACCUUGCCCAACAUAAGGGACUUUGCAGAUGUGAUUUAGUUAAAGACAUUGAGACAGGGAGAUUAUGCUGUAUUAUUCAGUGUGCCCAGUUUAAGCAGAAGAGUCCUUUAUAAGAGGGAGGUGGAAAAGGUAAGAGUGAUGGGAUGUGAAAAAGACUCCACCUUCUGUUGCUGACUUUGAAGAUUGACAAAGAGGCCAUGAGCCAAGGACUAUGGGGUGGCCUCUAGAAGGUGCAAAAGACAAGGAAACAGAUACUCCCCUGGAACCUCCAGAAGGAACACAGCUUCUACCAAUGCUUUGACUUUAGCCAGUGAUCCUUGUCAGACUUCUACAGAAUUAUAAAAUAAUAAAUUUGUGUUGUUUCAAGCCCA